AUGCAUCAUGGGACUUAUAGUUUAUGGAUCAUGGCAUUUUUUAGUCUAUGCCUCAUACAAAUUUUCUAUUUUUUGAACGGGACCAUGGCAAAUUUUCUUUCAUGGCAGUUCGUGGAGCGUGGCAAUUUUUCGUCCUUAUUUGCAAUACGGCAAAUUUUCUUUUUGAAUGGGACCAUGGCAAAUGUAGUUUACGAGGCAUGGCAAAUUUUUAAUUAUAUGAACCAUGGCAAAUUUUCUUUCUUUAUUGCAACAUGGCAAAUUUUCUGUUUUCAAUGGGACCAUGGCAAUCUCAGUGCAUCUUUCAUGGCAACGGUAGUUUAUGGAGCAUGGCGGAUUUUCUUCCUUCUUUUACAAGCUUGCAAAUUUUGUUUUCGAACAGGACCAUGGCAAACUUAG
rnacentral:rRNA from 1 species